AGUCACGUGCGAAACCACAUGAUUACAGUCAAAAAAGCGGAAGCGCGCGGAUGACUAGUUUAUCAAAUUUAAGGCGAAUUUAUUAUUCUUUAAACACGGAGCAUAUUUUUAGUCAGUUUGACGUUUUCGGAUAACGUGGAGAUCUUCAACAGAUCGCUGGAACUGUGCAUAGUCCCUGGCUGCUUCAAACGCUCCACCAUCAUCCCCGGCCCAAAGAAACCCAAGAUAACCGGGCAUCAUGACUGCAGACCCUUGCUGGACCCACUGCUCUUCUCCCUCUACACUAGGGCACAUCUUUUGUUGAUUAGUAGUAAAUCUCCAUCAUGUGCUUUCAGAUGGAGCAGCAUUUCCUACACAGAGCUGUAGUUCACUGACAAGCUAUGCAAUAUCACAUUCAUAAUCGCAGGCAAUUUGUCUGAAAAUCAACAGAACCGGCUUUACUGACGAGAUGCGUGUGACAGUUGCAGCCCUGCUCUACACCAACCACUGCACCUCUACAGACCUGAGGUCUUCGGCCUGCCGAGAGGAUUAUUGGUGCUCCCCUACCCACCCUUCAAGAACUGUAUACAUCCAGAGUGAGGAAAAGUGCUUAGAAAAUCACUCUGGAUCCUCGAUAUCCAAGCUCCUUUUUGAACUUUUGACAUCUGGCCAAUGCUACAGAGCACUGAAUACCAGAACAGCCAGGCACAAGAAGUUUCUUUUCCCAGACAAUCUACCUUAUGAACAGUUAAAUGCCCCCUCUCCUCCAAUCGUGCAAUAACCUUAUAUUUUAUUUGUUACUACCCCAUAUCCUAUUACAUCCCUACAUCUCAUUCUAUUCCAUUCCUACGCUAUCUAUAUCACAGCUGACACUAACACUAAUUUUUCAAUGUAUUUUUCAGUUUUUGUUUAUUUAUAUUUACAUGUGUAUUAUUAUUCUCGUGUUAUUUGUAUUGUCUGUGUGUUGUUGCUGUCUCUGUGCACUGGAAGCUUGUGACUCUAAAACAAAUUCCUUGUAUGCACAAGCAUACUUAGCAAUAAAACUCUUUCUGACUUCUGAUUAUUAUGUAUGCAUGUCAUAUUUGAGCUUUUGGAAUAAACUGUAUUUGUGGAA